rnacentral:rRNA from 1 species
ACGCUGGCGGCGUGCCUAAUACAUGCAAGUAGAACGCUGAAGAGAGGAGCUUGCUCUUCUUGGAUGAGUUGCGAACGGGUGAGUAACGCGUAGGUAACCUGCCUUGUAGCGGGGGAUAACUAUUGGAAACGAUAGCUAAUACCGCAUAACAAUGGAUGACACAUGUCAUUUAUUUGAAAGGGGCAAUUGCUCCACUACAAGAUGGACCUGCGUUGUAUUAGCUAGUAGGUGAGGUAAUGGCUCACCUAGGCGACGAUACAUAGCCGACCUGAGAGGGUGAUCGGCCACACUGGGACUGAGACACGGCCCAGACUCCUACGGGAGGCAGCAGUAGGGAAUCUUCGGCAAUGGGGGCAACCCUGACCGAGCAACGCCGCGUGAGUGAAGAAGGUUUUCGGAUCGUAAAGCUCUGUUGUAAGUCAAGAACGGGUGUGAGAGUGGAAAGUUCACACUGUGACGGUAGCUUACCAGAAAGGGACGGCUAACUACGUGCCAGCAGCCGCGGUAAUACGUAGGUCCCGAGCGUUGUCCGGAUUUAUUGGGCGUAAAGCGAGCGCAGGCGGUUUGAUAAGUCUGAAGUUAAAGGCUGUGGCUCAACCAUAGUUCGCUUUGGAAACUGUCAAACUUGAGUGCAGAAGGGGAGAGUGGAAUUCCAUGUGUAGCGGUGAAAUGCGUAGAUAUAUGGAGGAACACCGGUGGCGAAAGCGGCUCUCUGGUCUGUAACUGACGCUGAGGCUCGAAAGCGUGGGGAGCGAACAGGAUUAGAUACCCUGGUAGUCCACGCCGUAAACGAUGAGUGCUAGGUGUUGGAUCCUUUCCGGGAUUCAGUGCCGCAGCUAACGCAUUAAGCACUCCGCCUGGGGAGUACGACCGCAAGGUUGAAACUCAAAGGAAUUGACGGGGGCCCGCACAAGCGGUGGAGCAUGUGGUUUAAUUCGAAGCAACGCGAAGAACCUUACCAGGUCUUGACAUCCCGAUGCUAUUUCUAGAGAUAGAAAGUUACUUCGGUACAUCGGUGACAGGUGGUGCAUGGUUGUCGUCAGCUCGUGUCGUGAGAUGUUGGGUUAAGUCCCGCAACGAGCGCAACCCCUAUUGUUAGUUGCCAUCAUUCAGUUGGGCACUCUAGCGAGACUGCCGGUAAUAAACCGGAGGAAGGUGGGGAUGACGUCAAAUCAUCAUGCCCCUUAUGACCUGGGCUACACACGUGCUACAAUGGUUGGUACAACGAGUUGCGAGUCGGUGACGGCGAGCUAAUCUCUUAAAGCCAAUCUCAGUUCGGAUUGUAGGCUGCAACUCGCCUACAUGAAGUCGGAAUCGCUAGUAAUCGCGGAUCAGCACGCCGCGGUGAAUACGUUCCCGGGCCUUGUACACACCGCCCGUCACACCACGAGAGUUUGUAACACCCGAAGUCGGUGAGGUAACCUUUUGGAGCCAGCCGCCUAAGGUGGGACAGAUGAUUGGGG